GACGAACGCUGGCGGCGUGCCUAAUACAUGCAAGUCGAACGAGAGCGUCCGGUGCUUGCCCUGGUCAAACUAGUGGCGAACAGGUGAGUAAAACGCGUGGAAACUGCCCAUCAGAGGGGGAUAACAUUCGGAAACGGGUGCUAAAACCGCAGAGGACUUCGAUUCGCAUGGCGUGAAGAGGAAAAGAGUCGCAAGCCUCACACGAUGGAAUGGCCCGCGGUGCAUUAGCUAGUUGGUGAGGUAACGGCCCACCAAGGCCGUGAUGCAUAGCCGACCUGAGAGGGUGAUCGGCCACAUUGGGACUGAGACACGGCCCAAACUCCUACGGGAGGCAGCAGUAGGGAAUCUUCCGCAAUGGACGCAAGUCUGACGGAGCAACGCCGCGUGAGUGAAGAAGGUUUUCGGAUCGUAAAACUCUGUUGUUAGAGAAGAACAAGUGCUAGAGUAACUGUUAGCGCCUUGACGGUAUCUAACCAGAAAGCCACGGCUAACUACGUG
rnacentral:rRNA from 1 species